UUGGGGGUAAAAAGGGUAAUCGGAUAAUUAUUUGUGCAAGACAAGAAAGGAAGGAACGAAGUCUCCGGGUCUGUACGCUUAGGGUUAAAACAACAAAAGUCUAGGGAAGGAGUCGGCAUUGCACAAUCACUAGAGGGGAAAACGAAAGCACAAACGGCAACUAGGUGAAGAGGUGGGGGCGACUACACAACCGGGAGCUAUGGCGGACGGAACACCAAGAAGAAGUCAACGGCGUCCAUCUAUUGAGGCAACGAGUAGACUCCGUGUGGGAAGCUAGAAAUGACAAAGUGUGGAAUCACAUUGUUAUUCCUGAUUAUGUAGUAUUGGGAAGAGCUCAUACAUUUCUUCAUGAAUGGCAAUUUGUCAACUCUGAAGGGAGGCAUCAAGUUAAUGAGGCUCUACACAAUCAGAGAUGGAUGGCACCCCCGUUAGGGCUGGAAAAUAAUUAAUGUGGAUGUUACUCUGGACUUUGCAAAUAAAAGGAUGGGGUUUGGCCUUGUGUUGAGAGAAUCAAAUGCUAACUUUCGUGCUGCAGAGGCGAGUGAUUUCUUGGUAAGGGUUUUAUAAAUCAAAUGAAGCAGAGGCAAUGGGAGUUAGAGAAACUUUGAAAUGGAUGAAGGAAUGCAGUGAAUAUUUUAUACAUGUGGGGACAAACUCUUUGAAUGUUGUUAAAUUAAUGCAUACUCUUUUGUAA